UACGUAGGGGGCGAGCGUUGUCCGGAUUUAUUGGGCGUAAAGAGCGUGUAGGCGGCCAGGUAGGUCUGCUGUGAAAACUCGAGGCUCAACCUCGAGACGUCGGCGGAAACCAUCUGGCUAGAGUCCGGAAGAGGAGAGUGGAAUUCCUGGUGUAGCGGUGAAAUGCGCAGAUAUCAGGAGGAACACCAACGGCGAAGGCAGCUCGCUGGGACGGUACUGACGCUGAGGCGCGAAAGCGUGGGGAGCGAACAGG
rnacentral:rRNA from 1 species